rnacentral:rRNA from 1 species
GUGCCAGCAGCCGCGGUAAUACGUAGGUGGCAAGCGUUGUCCGGAAUUAUUGGGCGUAAAGCGCGCGCAGGCGGUUUCUUAAGUCUGAUGUGAAAGCCCCCGGCUCAACCGGGGAGGGUCAUUGGAAACUGGGAAACUUGAGUGCAGAAGAGGGAGAGUGGAAUUCCACGUGUAGCGGUGAAAUGCGUAGAGAUGUGGAGGGAACACCAGUGGCGAAGGCGGACUCUCUGGGUCUGUAACUGACGCUGAGGCGCGAAAGCGUGGGGGACGAACAGAUUAGAUACCCUGGGUACCA